GUCUUUUUGAUUAUAAUUUAAAGUCUGACCUGCCCAAUGAGUUUUUGAAUGGCCGCGGUAAUUUGACCGUGCAAAGGUAGCAUAAUCAUUAGUUUUUUAAUUGAAAGCUGGAAUGAAUGGUUGGACGAGAAAAUAACUGUCUCAAUUUAAUUGUAUAUAGAAUUUUAUUUAUAAGUAAAAAAGCUUAUAUGAUUUUAAAAGACGAGAAGACCCUAUAGAGUUUUAUAUUUUAUUUUAUUAAUUAAGUUUAGAAUGUUUAUGUUUUUAAUACAAUAAAAUAUUUUGCUGGGGCAGCAGAAAAAUUAAAUGAACUUUUUUUAUUAUUAUUACAUUGAUUUAUGGUUUAAUGAUCCAUUUUUUAUGAUUAUAAGAUUAAAUUACCUUAGGGAUAACAGCGUAAUUUUUUUUUAGAGUUCUUAUCGAAAAAAGAGUUUGCGACCUCGAUGUUGGAUUAAAAUUAACUUUUGGUGUAGGGGCUAAAAGGUUAGGUCUGUUCGACCUUUAAAAUUUUACA
rnacentral:rRNA from 1 species